rnacentral:rRNA from 1 species
AUCAUACCAGCAUUAAUGCACCGAAGC